rnacentral:rRNA from 1 species
UAAUACGGAGGGUGCAAGCGUUAUCCGGAUUUACUGGGUUUAAAGGGUGCGUAGGCGGGUAGGUAAGUCAGUGGUGAAAUCUUCGAGCUUAACUCGGAAAUUGCCGUUGAUACUAUUUAUCUUGAAUAUCGUUGAGGUUUGCGGAAUAUGUCAUGUAGCGGUGAAAUGCUUAGAGAUGACAUAGAACACCUAUUGCGAAGGCAGCAGGCUAAACGAACAUUGACGCUGAGGCACGAAAGCGUGGGGAUCAAACAGGAUUAGAUACCCUGGUAGUCCACGCCCUAAACGAUGAUUACUCGACAUCAGCGAUACACAGUUGGUGUCUGAGCGAAAGCAUUAAGUAAUCCACCUGGGAAGUACGACCGCAAGGUUG